GACGAACGCUGGCGGCGUGCUUAACACAUGCAAGUCGAACGGAAAGGCCCUGCUUUUGUGGGGUGCUCGAGUGGCGAACGGGUGAGUAACACGUGAGUAACCUGCCCUUGACUUUGGGAUAACUUCAGGAAACUGGGGCUAAUACCGGAUAGGAGCUCCUGCUGCAUGGUGGGGGUUGGAAAGUUUCGGCGGUUGGGGAUGGACUCGCGGCUUAUCAGCUUGUUGGUGGGGUAGUGGCUUACCAAGGCUUUGACGGGUAGCCGGCCUGAGAGGGUGACCGGCCACAUUGGGACUGAGAUACGGCCCAGACUCCUACGGGAGGAAGCAGGGGGGAAUAUUGCACAAGGGGCGGAAGCCGGAUGCAGCAACGCCGCGUGCGGGAUGACGGCCUUCGGGUUGUAAACCGCUUUCGCCUGUGACGAAGCGUGAGUGACGGUAAUGGGUAAAGAAGCACCGGCUAACUACGU
rnacentral:rRNA from 1 species